GUGUUCACUUCAGCAGCACAUAUACUAAAAUUGGAACGACGCAAAGAUUAGCAUGGCCCCUG
rnacentral:snRNA from 1 species